rnacentral:rRNA from 1 species
GGCGGACGGGUGAGGAAUACAUCGGAAUCUACUCUGUCGUGGGGGAGUAACGUAGGGAAACUUACGCUAAUACCGCAUACGACCUACGGUGAAAGCAGGGAUCUUCGGACCUUGCGCGAUUGAAUGAGCCGAUGUCGGAUUAGCUAGUUGGCGGGGUAAAGGCCCACCAAGGCGACGAUCCGUAGCUGGUCUGAGAGGAUGAUCAGCCACACUGGAACUGAGACACGGUCCAGACUCCUACGGGAGGCAGCAGGC